AAACUUAAAGGAAUUGACGGGGACCCGCACAAGCGGUGGAUGAUGUGGUUUAAUUCGAUGCAACGCGAAAACCUUACCCACCUUUGACAUGUACGGAAGUUGCCAGAGAUGGCUUCGUGCUCGCGAGAGAGCCGUAACACAGGUGCUGCAUGGCUGUCGUCAGCUCGUGUCGUGAGAUGUUGGGUUAAGUCCCGCAACGAGCGCAACCCUUGUCAUUAGUUGCCACGCAA
rnacentral:rRNA from 1 species